rnacentral:miRNA from 2 species
UUACAAUGUCCAUUGAUUAAG